rnacentral:rRNA from 1 species
GAUGAACGCUAGCGGCAGGCCUAAUACAUGCAAGUCGAACGGUGAGUAGCAAUACUUACAGUGGCAAACGGGUGCGUAACGCGUAAUCAAGCUGCCCCUCACUGGGGGAUAGCCCGGCGAAAGCUGGGGUAAGCCCGCAURGUACGAUGAGAUGGCAUCAUCUUAUCGUUAAAAUCUUUUUGGUGGUGAGGGAGGUGGUUGCGUCUGAUUAGCUUGUUGGCGGGGUAAGGGCCCACCAAGGCGAUGAUCAGUAGGGGAACUGAGAGGUUUGGCCCCCACAUGGGUACUGAGAUACGGACCCAACUCCUACGGGAGGCAGCAGUAGGGAAUAUUGGGCAAUGGAGGCAACUCUGACCCAGCCAUGCCGCGUGCAGGACGAAGGCGCUCAGCGUUGUAAACUGCUUUUGCCCAGGAAGAAUGCUUGUGGUGCGC